CAGGACGCCCAAUCGUUUUUUCCAGAGACUAUAUGAGGCAAAGAAAUCAAGUGGGAUAUGGGGACUGCUGCGAAGAUAUCAUGGACGCCCAAGAAAUAUUUCAUUCUAUAUGCGAAGAGCGACGAAUCCCCUCUGAAUGGCAUUGACUACAAUAGCGCUACAUCAGACCGUUCGCUCUGUUACCAGUUAACUUGGGCGUGGAUGGGGUUGGAGCUCUAACUGCGGAUGUAUUGCAUAGCCUGCCUGCGCUUCCUCGUCCGGUUGUUCAAUGGACUCGCUGACAAUAGCCAACUCCCAAUCACGAUGAGGCCACGGGCUCUGAACUGCUUCAAAAGCACCUUAUCAGCUUGUUCGCUGUUUUACCAGACGAAUUCUGGAGAACAAGAUUGCAACUUGGCGAGAUAGAUUUGGAGUUCUAAAUGCACAUGUAUUGUACUCCGCUGACAAUGGCCAGCUCCCGGCGUAGAUGAGGUCACGGGAUCGCAGCUACCUUGAUUAUCAUUUGCCAAAAACUCGACUGCUGCCACGCCCUCAAAAUUAGCUAGUGCGCGCAGCUAAAUUGAAGGAUUCAAGGACUUUCAUCAAUUCUAAGGAUUUUUACGAAUCCAACAAGGCUACUCCUACAAGGAUCGGGCUUAUAUUAAGCUAGAUAUAGUAAUUUUAACUUAAAUUCG